GGCGGCGUGCUUAACACAUGCAAGUCGAACGAUGAACCACCUUCGGGUGGGGAUUAGUGGCGAACGGGUGAGUAACACGUGGGCAAUCUGCCCUUCACUCUGGGACAAGCCCUGGAAACGGGGUCUAAUACCGGAUACGACCUGCCGAGGCAUCUUGGCGGGUGGAAAGCUCCGGCGGUGAAGGAUGAGCCCGCGGCCUAUCAGCUUGUUGGUGAGGUAACGGCUCACCAAGGCGACGACGGGUAGCCGGCCUGAGAGGGCGACCGGCCACACUGGGACUGAGACACGGCCCAGACUCCUACGGGAGGCAGCAGUGGGGAAUAUUGCACAAUGGGCGAAAGCCUGAUGCAGCGACGCCGCGUGAGGGAUGACGGCCUUCGGGUUGUAAACCUCUUUCAGCAGGGAAGAAGCGAAAGUGACGGUACCUGCAGAAGAAGCGCCGGCUAACUACGUGCCAGCAGCCGCGGUAAUACGUAGGGCGCGAGCGUUGUCCGGAAUUAUUGGGCGUAAAGAGCUCGUAGGCGGCUUGUCGCGUCGGUUGUGAAAGCCCGGGGCUUAACCCCGGGUCUGCAGUCGAUACGGGCAGGCUAGAGUUCGGUAGGGGAGAUCGGAAUUCCUGGUGUAGCGGUGAAAUGCGCAGAUAUCAGGAGGAACACCGGUGGCGAAGGCGGAUCUCUGGGCCGAUACUGACGCUGAGGAGCGAAAGCGUGGGGAGCGAACAGGAUUAGAUACCCUGGUAGUCCACGCCGUAAACGGUGGGCACUAGGUGUGGGCAACAUUCCACGUUGUCCGUGCCGCAGCUAACGCAUUAAGUGCCCCGCCUGGGGAGUACGGCCGC
rnacentral:rRNA from 1 species